rnacentral:rRNA from 1 species
AUGGAGGUUGUCAUAUCUGCAGUUGCAGGUGAACUUGCAAGCCGUUUCAUCUCCUUCCUGCUGAACAAGUACCACCCGAAGCCUUCACGCUCGGAAGCAGAAGAGCUGAUAGAGAGGUUGCAGCACCUCCUGAUGAGAGUAAGCAUGGUCGUUGAGGAGGCGGAUGCGCGGUACAUAACCAACUCCGGGAUGUUGUUGCAGCUCAAGAUGCUCUCAGAGGCCAUGUACAGAGGAUACCGCGUCUUGGACACCUCGAGGUACCGAACCCUCCAAGACAGUGCAGGCUUCGAUGAGGUUAGCAUCAAAGACUCAUCUACCAGCAGCAUGUAUUUAGCAAUUCCCCUCAAGCGUUCUCGAACAACAACCGAGAAGGAUGACAAGGCCACGUGCCUCGAGUCACUAGGUGCCUUGGAAAGCUUAGAAGUCGCUAUUGCUAACAUGGCAGAAUUUGUUCUGCUUCUGGGUGGAUGCGAGCGCAUGUCUCGUAGGCCAUACGACAUCUAUCUUUACACCGACAACUUUAUGUUCGGCCGGCAUGCUGAAAAGCAAAAACUCUUGAGCUUCUUGUUGCAGCACAGACCUGCUGAUUUGUUGAGGAGAAAUCUUAAUGCUCAGUUUUGGCAUUGCAUAUUGGACAAGGGGAUAAGAAUGAUUAAAAGAAACAUCGCCGUGUAUGGUGUGCAUCCAAGCAUGCUUAUAGAACAAGGACACCCGGUGGACAUAACGGACUUUGCUAUGCAUCCACUUAGCAUGAUACCUUAUACGAUUAAUGCUUCAAUCAAGAAGGAAUCGCCAAGUGUGACAUUUGGGGAGUUGCUAGCGGAUCCUAGUGUUAGACCGAAAGAAGACUUCAUUCUGAUUUCAUGGGAAUCAAGGAUACCCCCUCAUAAUUCAUUUGCUAAUUUUGUUAUGAGUCGUGCUCAGGAUACACAUGAAGGGAGUACCUUGCCAGGGAGGAAGCGACGAGGUGUGCCAAUUUAA